AAACAUCUCACCAUCUCUGGUGGUGGACGAUGGAUGAUUUGAGCUGCCUGGCAGCCCAAUCGUCUGAAAAUGAUUGUGCGCGCUCCGACUGUUGUCGGUUGGCUCUAAAGGUGCAACAAGAUUAACAUCUAUUCGCCUCUCGAGUUCAAUCAUAUGCAACAUUGGUAGUGUGUACUCCAACAAUUACAAGGUUGGGAAGCUGAGCUGAACAACCUGUUA
rnacentral:misc_RNA from 1 species